UUACAGCCAUAUCAUCUUGAAAUACCAGUUCUCAUAUGGUCACCGAAGUUAAGCAAUGUUGGGACUGGUCAGUACCUAGAUGGGUGAUUACUUGGGAAUAUCAGGUGCUGUAAG